GCCACCUUAGCUCAGUUGGUAGAGCAACGGUUUUGUAAACCGUGGGUCAUCGGUUCGAGUCCGAUAGGUGGCUCCA
rnacentral:tRNA from 1 species